rnacentral:rRNA from 1 species
GAUGAACGCUGGCGGCGUGCCUAAUACAUGCAAGUCGAGCGAACAGACGAGGAGCUUGCUCCUCUGACGUUAGCGGCGGACGGGUGAGUAACACGUGGAUAACCUACCUAUAAGACUGGGAUAACUUCGGGAAACCGGAGCUAAUACCGGAUAAUAUAUUGAACCGCAUGGUUCAAUAGUGAAAGACGGUUUUGCUGUCACUUAUAGAUGGAUCCGCGCCGCAUUAGCUAGUUGGUAAGGUAACGGCUUACCAAGGCGACGAUGCGUAGCCGACCUGAGAGGGUGAUCGGCCACACUGGAACUGAGACACGGUCCAGACUCCUACGGGAGGCAGCAGUAGGGAAUUUUCCGCAAUGGGCGAAAGCCUGACGGAGCAACGCCGCGUGAGUGAUGAAGGUCUUCGGAUCGUAAAACUCUGUUAUUAGGGAAGAACAAAUGUGUAAGUAACUAUGCACGUCUUGACGGUACCUAAUCAGAAAGCCACGGCUAACUACGUG